rnacentral:rRNA from 1 species
UGGGGAAUUUUGGACAAUGGGCGAAAGCCUGAUCCAGCAAUGCCGCGUGUGUGAAGAAGGCCUUCGGGUUGUAAAGCACUUUUGUCCGGAAAGAAAUCCUUGGCUCUAAUACAGUCGGGGGAUGACGGUACCGGAAGAAUAAGCACCGGCUAACUACGUGCCAGCAGCCGCGGUAAUACGUAGGGUGCAAGCGUUAAUCGGAAUUACUGGGCGUAAAGCGUGCGCAGGCGGUUUGCUAAGACCGAUGUGAAAUCCCCGGGCUCAACCUGGGGAACUGCAUUGGUGACUGGCAGGCUAGAGUAUGGCAGAGGGGGGUAGAAUUCCACGUGUAGCAGUGAAAUGCGUAGAGAUGUGGAGGAAUACCGAUGGCGAAGGCAGCCCCCUGGGCCAAAUACUGACGCUCAUGCACGAAAGCGUGGGGGAGCAAAACAGGAUUAGAUACCCUGGUAGUCCACGCCCUAAAACGAUGUCAACUAGUUGUUGGGGAUUCAUUUCCUUAGUAACGUAGCUAACGCGUGAAGUUGACCGCCUGGGGAGUACGGUCGCAAGAUUAAAACUCAAAUGAAUUGACGGGGU